rnacentral:rRNA from 1 species
GUAUAGUAGUGCAAGCNUUUCCGGAAUUAUGGGCUAAAGCGCGNNANGCGUUCUUUAAUUUGAUUGAAGCCACGGCUCAACCGUGGAAGGUCAUUGAAACUGGGGACUUGAGUGCAGAAGAGGUUAGUGGAAUUCCAAGUGUAGCNGUGAAAUGCGUAGAUAUUAGGAGGAAUACCCGUGGCGAAGGCGACUUUCUGGACUUAAACUGACGCUGAGGUACGAAAGUGUGGAGAGCAAACAGGAUUAGAUACCCUGGUAGUCCACACCGUAAACGAUGAGUGCUAGGUGUCGGGGGUCAAACCUCGGCGCCGCAGCUAACGCAUUAAGCACUCCGCCUGGGGAGUACGUGCGCAAGCAUGAAACUCAAAGGAAUUGACGGGGACCCGCACAAGCAGCGGAGCAUGUGGUUUAAUUCG